GACGAACGCUGGCGGCGUGCUUAACACAUGCAAGUCGAACGGUGAAGCGCCUUCCUUUUUGGUGGGUGUGGAUGAGUGGCGAACGGGUGAGUAACACGUGAGUAACCUGCCCCCUUCUUCUGGAUAACCGCAUGAAAGUGUGGCUAAUACGGGAUAUUCUGGGUCUGUCGCAUGAUGGGUCUGGGAAAGAUAUUGUUUCGGUGGGGGAUGGGCUCGCGGCCUAUCAGCUUGUUGGUGGGGUGAUGGCCUACCAAGGCGGUGACGGGUAGCCGGCCUGAGAGGGUGGACGGUCACACUGGGACUGAGACACGGCCCAGACUACUACGGGAGGCAGCAGUGGGGAAUAUUGCACAAUGGGCGAAAGCCUGAUGCAGCGACGCCGCGUGAGGGAUGGAGGCCUGCGGGUUGUGAACCUCUUUCGCCAGUGAAGCAGGCCUGCCUCGUUUGUGGGUGGGUUGACGGUAGCUGGAGAAGAAGCGCCGGCUAACUACGUG
rnacentral:rRNA from 1 species